UUUUUUUUUUUUUUUGACAAAAGAAGAUGUUAAAGAUAAGUACAGAAAGUUAAACAGUUGUUUUAAGAAGGCUAUUUUUUUAAAAAGGAAAGAUUUAGCUUUCUGAACACAGGAAAUUAUUUUGCCAAAACACAGAAUGCUUGCUUUCUAGGCAGAUUAUUUUAAAAGGUUAAAAAAAAUCCUUUUACAAUUUCUUAUCAACGGCACACCAAUAGUCCAAUAAAACUUUGUCCCUUUUAUAGGGACAUUAACCAUUUUAUAGGGACAUUAACCAAAAUGAACCAAAUUUUAAUUUUGCACCAGCUUACUAUUGAUGCUAGAAUUUAUUGACUCAAAUUUAUUCUGAUUUUAUCUUGUCCAGACAAUGCAUAAAAUUUGCUUUCCAAAGAUUCUUAUAAACCUUAAAUAAUUGCCUUUUAUUUACAUUCAGAUUUUGUCCUGUGUUUUCCUCUUUUUUCAGCCGCCCUUUAGGACAAAAUUACUUUCUUUCCCCUCAACAAAGAAUGCGUCUUCACUACUCGUAUCUUCUUUUACCAAAUACAUACAUUCUACAUUCCUUGCAGACAGAGAUAUUUGCCUUAUUUAUUUUCAGUAGCUUUAAUUACAUAUAUCAAUUUUUUUAAAAUGAAGGGCCUUAGAAACCCUUCAUUUCUAGUAAAAGUAAGCAUUUGUGUCUAUAAACAAUAAAAUGCUGGAGAGGGUGUGGAGGAAACGGUAUGCUCUUACAUUGUUGGUGAGAAUGUAGAUUGGUGUAAUCAGUAUGGAAAACAGUAUGGAGCUUCCUCAAAAAAAAACUAAAAGUAGAACUACCAUACAAUCCAGCAACCCCACUCCUGGGUAUUUAUCUGGAGGAAACUAUAAUUCAAAAAGAUACAUGCACCCCAAUGUUCAUUGCAGCACUGUUUACAAUAGGCAAGACAUGGAAACAACCUAAAUGUCCAAAAACAGAGGAAUGGAUAAAGAAGACAUGGUACAUACAUACAAUGGAAUACUACUCAGUCAUAAAAAAGAAUGAAAUAAUGCCGUUUACAGCAACAUGGAUGGACCUAGAAACUAUCUCAUAAAGUGAAGUUAAACAGUGAAAGACAUAUGGUAUCACUUAUAUGUGGAAUCUAAAAAAAAAAAGUAUACAAUGAAACUUGUUUACAGAAGAGAUAUAGACUCAAAGACUGUGAAAAACAUAUGGUUACCAGAGGGGACAGGUAGUGGGGGGAGGGAUGGACUUGGGGUUUGGGAUUGGCAUAUGCACAUCGAGAUAUACGGAGUGAUUGGCCAGUAGGGACCUGCUAUUUAGCACAGAGGACUCUACCCAAUAUUCUGUGAUAAUCUAUGUGGGAAAAGAAUCUGAAAGAGAAUGGGUGUGUGUAUAUGUAUGAUUGAAUCCUUUGUUGUACAGCAGAAAUUCUCAUAACCUUUUUUUUUUUUUUUUUUUUUUUUUUUUUGUCUUUUUAGGGCCGCAUAUGCGGCAUAUGGAGAUUCCCAGGCUAGGGGUCCAAUUGGAGCUACAGCUGCCAGUCUACACCACAGCCACAGCCACACUGGAUCCAAGCUGCGUCUGCGACCUACACCACAGCUCACGGCAACGCCGGAUCCUUAACCCUCUGAGCGAGGCCAGGGAUUGAACCUGUGUCCUUAUGGAUGCAGGUCAGAUUGGUUAACCGCUGAGCCACAAGGGGAACUCCUCUCAUAACCUUUUAAGUCAACUAUAUGUCAAUAAAACCUUAAAAAAAAGAAGUAAACAUUUGUGAACUAUCCUUUAUAUUAACAUUCUGUGGCUUGGCAAGUUAAUUUCUAGAAACAUAUGCUUUUUUUAUAGAAAAUUGCGUACAACGUGUUUAUUAAUAUACCCAAGUAUCUUUAAUUCCUCUGUGAAAAGAAGCCAAAACUAGGUAAACCUAUGAUCAGUAAUAUGUUUCAGUAUUUUAUGUUAUUUAGAAAUGACCCAGAUAUUUAAUGAAUUUCUAUCAUUUAAUUUAAUUUAGCAAAACUCUUUUUUUUUUUUUUAAUGGCCACACCUGUGGCAUAUGGAAGUUCCUGGUCCAGGGCUCAAAAUGGAGCUACAGCUGCAGUCUACACCACAGCCACAGCAACACCGAAGCUGAACCACAUCUGCAACCUAUGCCGCAGCUUGUGGCAGCGCCAGGUCCUUAGCCCACCAAGUGAGGCCUGGGAUCAAAUCUGCACUCUCAUGAACACUAUGUUGGGUUCUUAACCCUCUGAGCCACGACAUGACAUGAACUCCUAACUUAGCAAAACUCUUAACAGUGAAAUUCCCCAAAGAGAUUGGUGUGACUAUUUUUAAGUAGUCAUACCAUUAAACAAUUAUUGUUAAUAAAAAUUUACCUAAAAACCUUUAUUCACUUACCUCUAUUUAUUUCUUUUCAACAAUUAGGUUUAAAAUGCUUAUGAAAAUUGUAUCAUACCAAGAUACUUUUUGUCCUGACAAGUUUUGUAACAUGAACUUAUUUGAUUAAUAAACCCAAAUAGCAGACAAGUUGUAUGUUUGCAUUAUAUUCAAUGUUGACAACUCUUUAAAAAAUGCUUGUUUGAUUAAACCAAUAACUUCAAACAGCCUUAAUUUACUAAAGAUUAAUCCUAGAUUAUGAGAACUUAGAAAGUAUUUGGUUUAGUUUCUAUUUUAUUUUAACUCCUAUAAGCACGUCUUCAUUUUUAAUCCAAGUAAAUAGAGCUUUGAACAAUCAUAUCUCAAAAGCACAGGGAAGGAAUGCACGUUCCCUAAAGAAGGAUUUUGGUUUCCCAAGGCCAACAGUUACAAGUCUUUUGACAUAAAAAGGGGAGGUUUGGUAGCUGGUAAAAGAGGUAAAUUUUGAACUGUGUUUGGACCUGCAUUUCUGGUUUUGCAGAUUUGUAAGCAAGGACAGCUACUUUUAAUGCUUCAAAGAACUGAGUUGCAAUUUAAAUGACCUCAUAGAUUGAUUCAACCAUAAAGCCUCUUACGAGAGCUCUAGAAAGUUUUUCUUUUCCUCUGAGUACAUUUAGUUUAGGAGAGGAGGCCUAAAUUUUUUUUCUAUCAGGCUCUGAAUAUUAGCUUCCAAUUUGGCCAAAGUUCUUUCUUUCUUUUCUUUUCUUCCUUCCUUCUUAUUUUUGGGGGUGAGGGGCUGUUUCCACAGCACGCAGAAGUUUCAGGGCCAGGAACUGAACCGAUGCCACAGGAGCAACCCAAGCCACAGCAGUGACAAUACCAGAUCCUUAACCCACUAGGCCACCCAGGAAUUCCAGGCCAAAUUUCUGGUCAUAGAAUUAUUAAAUCCUUUUCAAUAUCUUCUUAGGGUUCAGCUGGGACAAAUAGCAAAUAUUUUAGGCAAUGUUGAAAAACGUCUUGGAUUCAAGAGGUGUCCCAAGGAGGAUUCAAAUGUUUCUACCUUCCCAAGAUCCAGUCCUUCCCAAAGAUAGCCAAAAGAAAGAACUGACAGCCUGUAUGUCCCAGGCAGGCAGAAGGCCAAACCCAGCGCACAGAACACAACAUGAGAGAAGCAAGAAGGAACUAGUUAGCCCUGGGGAAGAACGUGUUAAAGCAGGCAGGUAGCUAGAGAAGAGAAGAGAAAGAGGGACCCAGGCGCAGGUGGCAGGAAACCACACCAGGCUUCUUGUAAACAGCAGGGGUCCAUGACUGACAAAGAAAAGUAGGAACCUCCAGACUGACAGGAAGCCACACAUUUUUGGUAUUAAGUGUCCUGGAGGAAGACAAAAAAAGGUGGGAAAGGUGAGACUCUCUGGCUUUCCAAUGUAACCUUUUGCUCAUUAUGCCCUCAUUACAGUAAAAUUAGCCUUGCAGAUCAAAAGUUCCUGUCCUGCAUCAAUACCAUGACACUUCCCAUCAAGUCUAAAUAAGGACAAAAAUCUCUCCUCCACUUGUGAAGGUAGACCUGGGAUGAAAGUCAGGGAGUGCAACCCCCAAAGCCCUCUUUCCCCAAAAAAUAUUCCAGCCCUUCAUUUGCAGGCCCCUUAUAACCAGUUUGCCAAAGAAACCCAGGGCAGCUACCCACCUGGGUGCCCUUUCUCCCUCUGAGAGCAUAAUCUUGCUGAAAUAAAUCCUCAUUCUACUUUCUCCAACUCCCUAUCUCAUUUCUGAAUUCUUUUUGCUAUGAGACAAGAAUUUUACGUUCACUUGGAACAAAAGGAUCAGUGCGAUGGAUCUGAAUUUGGAAAGGAAGGGACCAUGUGAAAUUCUAUUUUUCUCUCUUGAUAGAGUGUUAGAGACAGAGUUUGGGGAGAAUUAGCUCUACUAAUAAUUUUCACCCUUUGCUGGCUUCUGCUAGCUCUCUCAGGAUCCCACCUGCAGGCUCUGAGCUAAAGUGGAGAGCAAAGCUCUGAAAUUUACCAGAAUUUGGCAAGAUUACUUUAGAAAUUGAUUUUAAUUUUAGUUUCCCAUUGACUAUGUAAGAGAAUAACAUAGCCGUUAGUUUCCAAAAAAAAUUUUCUCAGAGUCCUAUCAACUCUGAGAGGGGUCCGCAUGGGCUCCUUCCCUUGAAGGUGGACAAGGGAGUGUCUGUAAGGCCAUUGAUUUGUUGGGCUUUUGUUUAUAAUCUGUGUCUUAUAUUUUUCAUUAGCCUUCUGCAACAAAAUUUUUAAUGGAGCUAUUUUGGAAGUUUGAAGCCUUUUGGAAGCUUCUGUAUACCAAUAAAACAAGUAUCCCAUUCUGCUUGUUUAAGUUGGGAAUUCUCACUUUUAGAUGCACUUCUUAAAUGAUCUUACCUAAUCGGAAUGCUCCUUCUAAUGAACAUUCUAAUUCUAGAUUGUUUUUGAGAAUUUUGCCAGUUUUAUAGAUAUUUAUAGCUUCUAGGACCCACAGUUCUUAGACAUAAAAUAAGCAGAUGUGCUGGAAGAGAGUGCACUUAGCUUUUUGGAAUUCAAUGAUUUUGUUAGCUAAACUUUUGGGUUUCUUGGAGCUGAAGUAAUACCUAAAAGGGACUGUGUGAUGUUUAACAAUGCACCUCAUUGCACAGAAAUUUUCUUGAGGUUGGCAGGGAUCUAGUGUCAGUGUAACCCAUUCUGUGACCAACUUAUCCCAGCAUGAGAGUCUUUGGUUUGGUGGCAAGCAGUCUAUCAGCCCUUAAAUGCUUGACUUACACCCAUCAGUUGUUUUUUUUUUUAACUUUUGAUAUCCGAUUAGCAAUUAGCCUUUAUCUAUACAAAAAAAGACAAAACAAAUAUGUGCACCUUAAUAUAUUGUUAAUAAGAAAGAGAUAUUAUUGCACUUGGCCAAGAAAGGUCCCUGUGUGCAACACCAGUUCUCUCAGGACCUUAGACUGGGGAAGGGCUUGAACCAACAGAUCUCCACAAAUGGGGACUGUGGAAGAGGGGCUCACGUGGAUGGUGGAAUGAACACUGCCUCUAAAAGUUCUUAUGUGGAUCUUUGAACAGAAUCAGGGGCUUAGGAUUUCCACUCAAAAAACCUAGGAAUUACAGUCUAAAAUGCUAGGGGCUUAGCUCCAGGUAGAACCAUCUUCCAACUUAAGCUGACCUUUCCUAUACUGGAAAGCCAAAUGGAUAGGGAUCUUGUUGCAAAGAGAGUAGAGCUCAGAACCAAGAGGAACUAACCCUUAUCCCUCAGAAACAGUGAGAAAUCAAAAAGGAGGUUUGCAGGUACCACAUCAGUAUUUCUCAUUGUCCCUGAAUGUUGUCAGAAUUUUGCUUCAGAUCCCACUGCUCCCUCUUCUGAGGUCCCUCUCUAGAUCUGCUGGCAAGCAAAAAACAUUCUAAUGCUCUCUUCUCCAUGCAGCAGGGGUUUUGUCUCUAAGAGACAAGCGGGAGUUCCCAUCGUGGCGCAGUGGUUAACGAAUCCGACUAGGAACCAUGAGGUUGCGGGUUCGGUCCCUGCCUUUGCUCAGUGGGUUAACGAUCCGGCGUUGCCGUGAGCUGUGGUGUAGGUUGCAGAUGCGGCUCGGAUCCCGCGUUGCUGUGGCUCUGGCGUUGGCCGGUGGCUGCAGCUCUGAUUCAACCCCUAGCCUGGGAACCUCCAUAUGCCGCGGGAGCGGCCCAAGAAAUAGCAACAACAACAACAA
rnacentral:lncRNA from 1 species